rnacentral:tRNA from 2 species
AGAAACUUAAGUUAUAUUUAAACUAGAAGCCUUCAAAGCUCCAAAAAAAGGCCACUUUAGUUUCUG